UGCCCGUCUGUUGAAUGUGACUUAUUUUGGGCAGCCCAUCGUCCGAGGAAUUCCGUUGCUGGCGAAGAACGCGAUGAUAAUAUGCAUGUUGAUAUUUUGGAGGCUGAGCCCAUCAUGACCAGUAGAUACUCGGCCGUUGCUGGGGAAGAAAGCGAUGAUGAAGACGCUGAUGAUGAUAAUAAUUAUGGUGCAAUUAUAAGUUCAACAUCUGAGCCGGUUCUACCCCCUACGACACUGACGAUGCUUCUCACAGUCAGUUUGUCAGUGACUGUUGCUUGAACAAGUCGUUUUUCAGU